UAUCUCCCUGGCGGCGCGGCGGCGUCAGCAGCAGAGGCAGCGACAAGCACCUCCCCCCACCGGCGCCGGACGCGCAGGUUCCUGUACUCCCGCCGCUACACCAUCGAGGUCAUGGUGGUGGUCGACACCAAGAUGGCGCGUUACCACGGCAAGCACUUUAACCAAUAUGUCCUUACACUCAUGUCUGUGGUGGCGUUAAUAUUCAGAGAUGCGAGCAUUGGCAAUCGGAUCGACAUAGCGGUGGUAGAAGUAGUACGACAGGACAGGCAGUUUGUCACCCCGAGAAAGGAUCACAAAAACAGUGCUGAGGUACCAGGCAAGUCUGCUGAGGAGAUGCUGAAGAUGUUCUGCAAGUGGCAAUACAUGGGGCUUAAGCGCAACCCUAACCAUCCCAGACGCUACGACACUGCCCUCCUCCUCACCAGGGAGAAUAUAUGUCGCAACCCGUCUACCAAGAACUGCGACACCCUGGGGCUGGCCGAGCUGGGGACGAUGUGCUCCCGCCACUCAUCAUGUUCCAUCGUCCAGGACAACGGCCUAUCUGCUGCCUUCACCAUCGCUCAUGAACUUGGCCAUCUGUUGAACAUGCCCCAUGAUGAUGAUAAGAAGUGUAGCAUCCUGGAGGGCACCAAUGAUGGGAGCCAGUGGAUGAAUGUGAUGAGUCGCAUGCUGGACCACAACACGCUGCCGUGGGAGUGGUCCAACUGCUCCAGGCACCAUCUCACUGAUUUCCUUCAGGGUGGCCAUGGGUGGUGUCUAGAGGAUGAGCCUUGGACCAACAAACUAAUUGAAGAGACAACUGAAUUCACACUGGCUGGGGAACUCUUCAAUGCCAGCAAGCAGUGUCAGUAUGUGUUUGGCAUGAAUUCUCGGAUCUGCCCUUACAUGCCAACGUGUAAGCGGCUGUGGUGUACCACAUCCGUAGGCAAGGAAGGAUGCCGAACCCAACACAUGCCCUGGGCUGAUGGUACCACCUGUAGCUCAGGUAGCUGGUGUCUCCGGGGAAAGUGCGUGCCCAAAGAUAAGACGGUCUUAAAGAAAGUGAAUGGUGACUGGGGUGAAUGGUUAGAAUGGAGUUCAUGUUCCCGUACUUGUGGAGUAGGUGUUCGAAGCUCCACUAGGCACUGCAACUCCCCAAAGCCUAGCUAUGGUGGUUGGUACUGCAUAGGAGAGCGUGUGCGGUAUGAGUCUUGCAUCAUGAAGCCAUGCCCCCCUGAUUCUAUAGACUACCGCACACAACAGUGUCAGGUGUAUAACAACAUGAAUUUUAACCUCUCUGAUAUUCCUGAAGAUGUCAUCUGGGUACCAAAAUAUGCUGGAAUUUCAAGAGAAGACAGUUGUCAACUUUUCUGCCAGGUUUACAAUAAGACCCGAACCUCGUACCUGAAGCUUCGAAAUAAGGUUGAAGAUGGUACUCCAUGUGGGCCUGGCACUUAUGAUAUCUGUGUCAGUGGAAAGUGUCGUACAGCUGGUUGCGAUUAUGUUCUCAACUCCACAGCAAAGUCUGAUGUCUGUGGUGUGUGUAAUGGGGACAAUUCAACUUGCCAAGUGACUGCAGGGUCCGUCGAGACGUCUCUUCCGUAUGGGUACACAGACAUUGUCACCAUCCCUGUGGGUGCUGCCAUGAUAGAGAUCACCCAGCAGUCCUAUCACGACCAAUCCACUGAUGAUAACUACCUCGCACUAGUUGAUCCAGAAACCGGAAAAUACUUGAUAAAUGGAGGCUCUGUUGUGAUUCCCUUCCCUAAGUUGGUGGCAUUUGGGGGGACGCUGUUGGAGUACUCUGGCUCUAGUUCUGUCACUGAACGCAUCAACUCGACUAAACCUUUACAGAAAAAACUAUUGGUUCAGAUCCUGUCAGUGGGUGAUUUGAACCCCCCCAACGUUGUGUAUAGUUACACAAAAUCUAACUUGCAUUCUGACCCAAAUUAUUAUUACUGGCAGUUGAAAGAUUGGAGCAAUUGCACUGAGCCUUGUGUUGGCAAACGUAAACGGACAGCAUACUGUGUGCGGGCAGACACUGGACAGGAGGUGAAGGAGGAGUUGUGCUCUUCACAUCAAAAACCAGAAACCCAGCAGGAGUCUUGUGCUCAUACUUGUCCUGUCUUUUGGGCAUACAGCGACUGGUCUAAGUGUGAACUGAAGGGCGAGCAGUGUGAGCGGGAGCGUAAGGUUGUUGGUUGUGUUUCCAGCCUGGGCAAUACUGUGGAGACUGAGCGUUGUGAAGCUGACCAACUGGUCACACAGAGAAACUGUCCUCGUGAAGAGUGUGCAACAUGGAGUUAUUCUGAAUGGUCUCCGUGUUUAUGUAAGGAUGGUGAUACUGUGGGUGUUCAGCGCCGGCCAUACUACUGUCAGCUGCGGCAACGUCCGCUGCCGAGCUGGGAAUGUGAACAACUUGAUAAACCCAUACAUAUUCGUAAUUGUUCAUGUUGGUUUGCUGAGGAAUGGAGCUCUGUGUGUGACCUGGAGGGCCAUGAUGAUACCAUUGUUGGAGGCAGCUUGUCUAACUGUGGCACUGGUGUGAUGCAACGACGUGUCUUCUGUGGCGCUCCAUCAGAUGACAUUCCACUCAGUGACUGCAGUGCCCUGACCAAGCCCCCUGAAACUAUCCCCUGUCACAUCCCAUGCCAGUCUACAACCACAGCUCCACCACCCAUUCCAGUCACCACUGAAGGUCUUCCUACAUCUUCUACAUUAACAGUUUCUGUUACAAACUCACACACUGACAACUCCUCUUCACUGAAAAAGAGGAAGGGUGGCAAGGAGCAGAACCAGCACAACUCUCUAGACACCCCAUUCCAUAAACACAAGAGUAAUGGAGACAUAUAUACUGGUGGUUCAUCUUCGAGACAGCCCCAUCAUCGUGGAAAUCAGCAGAAGGUGACAUGGACACAAGGAGGUAAUAUUGGAGUGAACCAUGGGCAAGAAACUAAUGAAAUCUCCAAUGCUCUCCCAAGUAGCCUUGAUGAAAGGGAGAGAAACAGCCGAAAUGACUUUUCUGACAAUCGCUUAGAUACCACAAGACACCAUAAUGAUUAUAGUAGAGAAAGAACCAAGAACUCCAACCGCCAUGCAUCUCAUCAGUGGGACCAACAUCGUAGCAGUGAAGAAGAGAGUAAUAAUGUGGUGCAAGAAUACGAUCCACUUAUAAUUGAUAACGAAAACCACAACACAAACUGGCAAACUGGUGGCUGGAGUACGUGUUCCCGAGACUGUGGUGGAGGAGAAAAACGCCGUCAAGUUGUGUGUAUUGGACCAGAGUCAUCCUGUCUGCCAAAUGACCGCCCAUUAGAGACUGCUCCAUGUAAUACUCAAAUUUGUACAGAAUGGUCCACAGGAGACUGGGGUCAUUGUCAUAUCCGGCGUGAACGCCAUCGAUGUGGACGUGGUCAGCAGGAACGUCUAGUUGUUUGUCGAGACCCGAAUGGCCCCCAACUGGAUGAAAAAAGUUGCCAUGCUGCAGACAGGCCCACUCACAGACGUGCCUGUAAGAUUCCUUGCAAUAAUAGAAGACGAGGUCGGCAGCGGCAACGAUACAAAUGGAAAUCUGGAGAAUGGUCACCGUGUUCGAAGGUGUGUGAUCGUGGUGUCAUGUAUCGUAAUGUGACCUGUACUGACACUCAGAUGAAUGAAACUGCUGUACACAAUGAGUACUGCCUUCGGGAAGGGUUGCCUAGGCACAAAUCCAGUCGUCGCUGUAAUAAGCAUCCUUGUCCAUUUCGUUGGGUUGCAUCCCCAUGGUCUGAGUGCUCAGAGGUGUGUGGUCCAGGAAUAGAGACAAGAGAGGUCAGCUGCCAUGCAGUCAACCACCUGGGAUGGAUUGACCCUCAACCUGUGACUCGAGGGUGUGAAGAGGGCAACAAAAAGCGAAAUACUCGCAAGUGUAACCUUGGUCAUUGUAACACGGGUUAUUAUUGGAAAGUUAAACCUUGGAAGCCAUGCCAGGCAAUGUGUGGCAAACGAGGUAGACAGCGUCGAGGAAUUAACUGUGUUAAUGAAGAGAAUCAAAGAGUGCACCAACAUUUAUGCUCAAAAGAGCAGCGUCCUCGCAAGAAACAGAAGUGUCAAGCACAGCCUUGUGGGUACACCACUUGUUCUGAGGUACAAAGUGGCAUGCAUGUGCCCGUAGAUGGAGAGUAUUCCCUGCUGGUUGGUGGACACAACAUGAGCAUCUUCUGCUUGGGAAUGAACACUUCCAGCCCCACAGAAUAUCUCACACUACCUGCAGGGGAGGAGGGGAACUUUGCCGAGAUAUACAAUAAAAUGGUGAGGAGGCUUGUGAAGAGGAUGACCUGUUCUGACUGACUGACCCAUAUGCUCACCACUUCUUUGCUUGAAAGAUCAGACUGAACUUGUGUACCCAGCCAGGCAUUUGGGACACAUGAAUUUAUAUACUGCUUGGCAAAGUAUAAACCAAGCACAUAUUGUGGCAGUCAGAGAUGAGGCACAAGUGCCAGAUUGUGCCCUAGGUAUGAUGCCCCCUUCAGGCAACUGAAUCUUAAGAGAUCACAUAACACCUGACCAAUCAGCGAUCACUUCCUGUUCAACCAUCAUUAUUCCUCAACUACACAGCAUUGACAUCUCCUGAAUCACCCAGACACAUGUCCACAUGGGGGAGAACGCCAUACUAGUUGUGACUGUACGCAAACUGAAAGCAACCACUCUGGCUACACGUCUUUCAGUAAAAUAAGACUCAACACCACAUCUCUAGUUGUUGACA
rnacentral:misc_RNA from 1 species